rnacentral:rRNA from 1 species
CCUGAGAAACCCAAAAGAUCGAAUGGGGAGAUUCAUCGUCAGCUCAUUUUGUAUAUGUAUAAGUUAUGAUGCGGGUUACUACUUGUAGUAUUGCCUGCACAUUCUUGUAUAUUUAGUUGCAAGAUGUUGUCGGCGUGCACUUCUCCCCUAGUAGGACGUCGCGACCUGUUGGGUGUCGGUCUACGGCCCAAGUGAUAGCCUUUAAUGUAAUUUAAAAAGCAUUGAAGAUCCUUGGUGUUUUCUGACCGGCUACUUGGCAGUAUUCGUACGGUAUUUAGCCGCUAAAUUUAUUAAGCGUCCAUAUCCGUCACAAGCGAGGCUAAUUUACUUGAUAGUACGGACCUAGUGCCGUCGUUGGUAUUAGUCAGCUGUUGGUUGUACGGUAUUCUAGGACUGGCUAAAAUUAAUUACCGGUCGGCGAUGCUACUGCUUUGGGUACUUUCAGGACCCGUCUUGAAACACGGACCAAGGAGUCUAACAUGUGCGCAAGUCAUUGGGAUUUUUUUAAAAUUAAACCUAAAGGCGCAAUGAAAGUAAAGGUUGACCUUGCGUUAACCGAGGG